UGAAGACACUGGGAUUUGUUUUGUUAGCAUGUUUCACAGGAUGCAGCCCAUUCAGGUGUUCUGUCCUACACCGGGAGGAAGAAAUGCUACACAGAGAGGCUGAGAAGAAUCUGAACAAACAGGCCUUGCUGGAUUUCCCCUUCAGUUUAUUGCCAUUUGCUUGCACUUUUUGUCGAAUCACAUUUCUACAUGGUGUUAACCAAACAUAAAAUACAGUUUUCCCUGGGUCUUUGCAUCUUCAUUUCUGAAGGUUCCCCUGUCACAUAAAAUGUUGAUUAAAUAAAUUUGUUACAUUUUUCCCUUGCUAAUCUGUCUUUUGUUAUAGGAGAGUUGGCUGUGACCCUUGUGAUGAAUGAGAAGAGGUAUUACCUUUUCACCCCUACACUCCCAUGGGUAUGUCCAGGGUUACACACAAUUCCUCACAUGCUAACUAAGACACCAUCCCACAAGAAAGCCUAUCAGUAGACAAUUGCAUGACACUGACAUUAUUAUAAUUGGAAACUUAAAUCUGUUGUAUAUAUUAAAUUGUGUUAAAAUACAUAUAACAUAAAGUUUACCAUCUUAACCAUUUUAAAAUGAACAGUUUGGUGGCUGGGCGUGGUGGCUCAUGCCUGUAAUCCCAGCAUUCUGGGAGGCCGAGGUGGGCGGAUCACGAGGUCAGGAGAUCAAGACCAUUCUGUGAAUGGUGAAACCCUGUCUCUACUAAAAAUACAAAAAAUUAGCCUGGCGUGGUGGCAGGUGCCUCUAGUCCCAGCUACUCGGG
rnacentral:lncRNA from 10 species